rnacentral:rRNA from 1 species
UACGUAGGGUGCAAGCGUUAAUCGGAAUUACUGGGCGUAAAGCGUGCGCAGGCGGUUAUGUAAGACAGGUGUGAAAUCCCAGGGCUUAACCUUGGAACUGCAUUUGUGACUGCAUAGCUAGAGUACGGUAGAGGGGGAUGGAAUUCCGCGUGUAGCAGUGAAAUGCGUAGAUAUGCGGAGGAACACCGAUGGCGAAGGCAAUCCCCUGGACCUGUACUGACGCUCAUGCACGAAAAGCGUGGGGAGCAAACAGG